rnacentral:misc_RNA from 1 species
GAAAUGCGAUAAUUCAUGUGAAUUGCAGAAUUCAGUGAAUCAUCGAGUCUUUGAACGCACAUUGCGCCCCCUGGUAUUCCGGGGGGCAUGCCUGUCCGAGCGUCAUUGCUGCCCUCAAGCACGGCUUGUGUGUUGGGCUUCCGUCCCUGGCAACGGGGACGGGCCCAAAAGGCAGUGGCGGCACCAUGUCUGGUCCUCGAGCGUAUGGGGCUUUGUCACCCGCUCCCGUAGGUCCAGCUGGCAGCUAGCCUCGCAACCAAUCUUUUUAACCAGGUUGACCUCGGAUCAGGUAGAGAUACCCGCUGAACUUAAGC